rnacentral:rRNA from 1 species
UACAGAGGGUGCGAGCGUUGUCCGGAAUCACUGGGCGUAAAGGGCGCGUAGGCGGCUUUCUACGCGUGCGGUGAAAGCCCGGGGCUUAACUCCGGGUCUGCCGUGCGAACGGGGAGGCUUGAGUCUGGUAGAGGUCGAUGGAAUUCCGGGUGUAGCGGUGGAAUGCGUAGAGAUCCGGAAGAACACCGGUGGCGAAGGCGGUCGACUGGGCCAGAACUGACGCUGAGGCGCGACAGCGUGGGGAGCAAACAGG